AGAAGGCUAUGUUGGCCGGGCGACGGUUGUCCCGGUUUAAGCGUGUAGGUGUGUGUUCCAGGUAAAUCCGGUUCACUUUAACACUGAGGCGUGACGACGAGGCACUACGGUGCUGAAGCAACAAAUGCCCUGCUUCCAGGAAAAGCCUCUAAGCAUCAGGUAACAUCAAAUCGUACCCCAAACCGACACAGGUGGUCAGGUAGAGAAUACCAAGGCGCUUGAGAGAACUCGGGUGAAGGAACUAGGCAAAAUGGUGCCGUAACUUCGGGAGAAGGCACGCUGACACGUAGGUGAAGUGAUUUACUCAUGGAGCUGAAGUCAGUCGAAGAUACCAGCUGGCUGCAACUGUUUAUUAAAAACACAGCACUGUGCAAACACGAAAGUGGACGUAUACGGUGUGACGCCUGCCCGGUGCCGGAAGGUUAAUUGAUGGGGUCAGCGCAAGCGAAGCUCCUGAUCGAAGCCCCGGUAAACGGCGGCCGUAACUAUAACGGUCCUAAGGUAGCGAAAUUCCUUGUCGGGUAAGUUCCGACCUGCACGAAUGGCGUAAUGAUGGCCAGGCUGUCUCCACCCGAGACUCAGUGAAAUUGAACUCGCUGUGAAGAUGCAGUGUACCCGCGGCAAGACGGAAAGACCCCGUGAACCUUUACUAUAGCUUGACACUGAACAUUGAGCCUUGAUGUGUAGGAUAGGUGGGAGGCUUUGAAGUGUGGACGCCAGUCUGCAUGGAGCCGACCUUGAAAUACCACCCUUUAAUGUUUGAUGUUCUAACGUGGACCCGUUACCCGGGUUGCGGACAGUGUCUGGUGGGUAGUUUGACUGGGGCGGUCUCCUCCUAAAGAGUAACGGAGGAGCACGAAGGUUGGCUAAUCCUGGUCGGACAUCAGGAGGUUAGUGCAAUGGCAUAAGCCAGCUUGACUGCGAGCGUGACGGCGCGAGCAGGUGCGAAAGCAGGUCAUAGUGAUCCGGUGGUUCUGAAUGGAAGGGCCAUCGCUCAACGGAUAAAAGGUACUCCGGGGAUAACAGGCUGAUACCGCCCAAGAGUUCAUAUCGACGGCGGUGUUUGGCACCUCGAUGUCGGCUCAUCACAUCCUGGGGCUGAAGUAGGUCCCAAGGGUAUGGCUGUUCGCCAUUUAAAGUGGUACGCGAGCUGGGUUUAGAACGUCGUGAGACAGUUCGGUCCCUAUCUGCCGUGGGCGCUGGAGAACUGAGGGGGGCUGCUCCUAGUACGAGAGGACCGGAGUGGACGCAUCACUGGUGUUCGGGUUGUCAUGCCAAUGGCACUGCCCGGUAGCUAAAUGCGGAAGAGAUAAGUGCUGAAAGCAUCUAAGCACGAAACUUGCCCCGA
rnacentral:rRNA from 1 species